UACCUUUUAUUUACAUCGGAUCAAAACAAACUUCAUCUUCUCAUCUGGGAUUGCCGCUACACUAGAGGAGAAAUCCAGUUACAUAACGAGGGGGAAAAAAAUGAAAAUCGCCAUUACACAGCGAAUAACUACAUCAGCGCACAAGGUAAGAUGACGACACUAUCACCAUCACGAGGGACCUUGGGCUGUGUGUAUAUAUAUGUGUGUGUGCGUGUGUAUUAUACAUUCAAAAAUGGGGACUGCUACAACAACAUAAAUUACUGGAUCUGAUACGGUUGCACUACUAGUUACAAUCUGGAGUUACAGAUGGAGUGGACGACUGGUUGUUAGUCUCGCCACCGGAAGUACGUGUCUUGAUAUAUGAACGUGCCGUUUCUAACAUCAGUUCAACUUCUUUCUUGUACUGGCAUAGAACAAAAGAAUUCAUUGCUUACUAAAUUCAUUCAUAUUUCAAAAAUUAUGGAGUUCAUUUUUCAUUGUAAUAAAGAAAAGAUUAAUAAGGAAAAUUGUACAAUUAGAGCACCAACCUCGUUAACAGCACCUGUCUUGAUUUUGGAUUGCAUGACACACCAUUUCUUAAAAUGUGCACCUGCAGAUAUUGCACAAACAGUUAAUUCCAAGCACUAGAAUUAAAAAAGAAAAGCAAGGUUGGAGUUGCUCAAUAUUUUGACCCACAGGUUCAAUGCAAUGCAACAGUAAGAUUCUAACACCUUCAGCAUUAAUUUACAUGCUUCUGUGUCCUCACAGGAUGCCACGACAAUUCUUGAUGUAAGCUUGUUUCAACCAUUAUUAGGGCAUGAAAAAUCAUCACAGCAGUAGGAAAAGAUAGUCAAAGAGGUGAACAUCAAACCAAAACUUACCCACUUUAAUAUCAAUAGUAGAGGAAUUUUCAGAAAUGGUCUCCAAAUGCCAUCGACAAUGAAUCUGAUACAGCAGAACAGUUACAUUGCAUUAACAAAGUGGAAUAUUUCUCUUAUAGGUUACAACCCUCUAAGCAAGGAAAUACAACCAGAAAACAUGUUACGCUAAAAUAUUUUGGAAAAUGCUGGUUCACCUAUCUUAGCACAGAAAAAAAGUAAUGAUGACCAUACAAAUUUUAAAUAUAUCAGAUGUUCUACUUAUUUAUUUUUUUAACAUAAUAAAAUAAAACAAAAUAACUUGUCUUGUUUAAUUCAAUUAACAUUGGCAUCUAAUAAGAAAUGUGAACCAAAAGUAUGAUGUCCAAAUAGAAACAUAUUUCAUACCUCAAAGUAAGACCCGAAUGGAACGUCAUGUGCCUGUUGGACUGUCUCAAAAACCUAAAAGAAAAGACACAUGUUUAAUCCAAAAUUUACAAGAAAAAAUCAUUGACGUCAGAUUUUAACAAGCAAGGUACCAUUUGAAGAUAAUAAGACAGAAAUAAUAACAAUGCGAAUUUUUUAAAACUAUUAGAUAAUAAAUAAGAAAAAACAAUAGCAAGCACAUUAUCAAUGUUGCCAAAAAUUUAAGGCAAUGAGACAGAUAGCCUUACAAAUAUUUUCUUAUCUGGUGAUAAAACUGCAUGCUGAUACUCCGUCAUGGCUGUGUCAGGUGGACACAUGGGACUGUUACAGAGAGAUCUAAAUGUGAUCUCUCUUACUUGACCAUCAUAUUCAUCUGCAGCAUGCCACUGUCCCAUCUGGAUAAAGCAUGAGAUAGUAAGCAAAUAUUUCAAUAUCAACCAACCGAUAUUCAGAAUCCAGAAAUAAAAUCUUCUUCUUAGAUGGAAAAGCACACGGAACUGGAAGGAUAAGUGAUCCAUAUGGAUAAUCAUCAGAAACAAAACUGCUUACCCGGACCCUUAUCAACCCCCAACCCUAAACAGAAGCUCUAUUUGGAUGGACAAGAGCAGGCCUUUUGAGGCAAUAUUUGCCCAUUGAACUAGCAAUUGGGCUAAUAUAAUCAUCUGAACUUCCCAAGUAGUCCAUACAGUGUACACAGGAUAAUUAGAACAAACAGAAGCAAUACUCAGUGCUAACCAAACAAGGUUCCAAGUCCUACAUCAGAAUACAUAACGUUGUUUCCUCCAUAAUUUGGUUUUUAAGGAACCGUUGUCCUAGACAUCAUGGAGAGCACUACCAGCUCAGCAUUAGUCCUAAUGCCUCUAAUAAGCUUAACUCUAGAAUGUGCAAAUCCUAACUGCCAACGAUAUAACAGAAAAAUGGGAAAUAUCCUUUCCAUACAAUCUUCUUUUCUAUAAUUUAACAUAUGUUUUAAUUAUCCUUGACAUUCCACUGGCUGGAAUGCCUAAACCAGGUAUGCAACAUAUAAACUUCCAUAUCCAAUUUAGGUACUUAUAUAAUCAGCACCAUGUUUAAGGUACUUUUGCAUCCUUUAAAGAUUUAGCUCGUAAUCCUUUUUAACAUAUCAACAUGGAUAUUCCUUAAAUCAUAAAUGCAUUACCAUGAGAAGCUCUUUUGUUCUUUUUCUUCAUGGUAAAGAAAAAUACAUUGAUCAAAUAUAGAGAAUACAAAAGGAAGAAACAAUUUUCUAGGGUCUAUGAUUUCAAAAAAUGGACUUGGACUUACAACAAGAUUAGUAUCCUUUCUAGCUGCACGAUACUCAUUUGUGAAUGUAGAAUCAUCACUAAACAAUAAAGUAAAGAACUGUUCCGCUGUGCAUGGGAAAACAUCCUGCAAAAUACAUUAAUGCAUUCUAUAAUGGUAAUAACACAACUUAAAAAUUCAUAGACCAUGAAAGAAGGAAAAAGAUGAUGCGUACAUUGUAUAUACCAACAAGAACCUCUUCUUUGAUAAACGGUUGAAGCUUUUCAGGUUUGGUGACUGUUUCUUCCGCAAUCUUAGCCUGCCUUCUACUACCUCUAAUGGAGCUACUAUGUGCACGCAACGCCGAUUCUGCCUUCUCCUAUACAGCAGCAAGCAGAUUGAAUUAACUUUUUUCUUCAUUAAAUCAUACUAGUCAGAGAAAAAGUUCAGCAAAAUACAUAUCCAAGAUCUGAUCCUAAUCCCAUUUCAAACGGGUUAGAUGUAUCUUGUCAGGGCAUAUGCCCAAAAUAAGUGUAGCAGCUCGGAUACCAAAAGUUUCAGCAAAACUGAAAAAACUAUCAAUUCCAACAAGGAAGACAACCAUCAAUGCCUGACACAACAGGAUAGAAAACUCCUUCACUGUUAGUAACAUUAAAGAGACUGACUUUAACUUCUAAAAUAGAACACAAUAGUUGAACUUUGGCCAUUCUAUGGUGGUAAUUAAAUGUGGGCGUCUUAAAAAUGUGUUGACAAAGCCAUGACUACUUAGCAGUUUAGAUUAAUUAAUAGAUGUGCUCAUAAUAUGUACAUAUUUUUUUUUAAUAUGUAUGUUUUAUUCUCAACAUUAGUGAAUGAACUCCAGUAAAGGGGUACAUUCUGCCACAUGAGAAGUGUGUGAGAUGUUUUAGUAGCAGCAAUAGAGAAAAAGAGCUAUAUAGACAACAGAGAGGAAAUAUAAUAUCUACAUUGUUUCUGUAUUAUAUUACUAAUAAACCAGAAGUAUUGUAUUACUAAAAACCCAGUAUAAGAGUUCUAUUUCGCUAAAUCAAGAACUCGGAAAGACAGCUCAUUGAUGAUACGACUCUUAGUAAAUACCAGACAAUGAAACCCCAUGCAUUCAUAUUUUAACUUCAACAAGUUGGAAAGAACUAUGUGAAUCUACUUAUUUCCAUAGUCAUUAUGGGGUUAGGAACCACUUGGCGAUUUGUGUCAGACCUCUUCACAAUUUUAAACGAUGACCAUUUUAUCCAUACGGUUGAUAACCAAGAUUAGAGUUGUAAAGGUAAAUAAUGAUAAAAGUUACAGACACAAUGAUUCAUGAAGCAAUACGAACGAACCUUCUUCUCAGCCUCUAACAUUUUAUGAUAGUUCUUUGCAAUACGUUGCAAUUGUCUCAAGGCAUGAUUCCUGUUCCAAAAUGAUGCAAAUUUAUAUCUGACCCUACCUGAAAAUGAAAGAGAAAAUAAAGGCCAAAAAGAAACCUCAACAACUCAUAUCAAACUGAAAAUGCAUCCAAAUCACACAUGAUGUUCCACUAUUCUGAAAAAACACAUUCAAUAACCUAACCAGAACACAAAAGUAAUAAUAAAACCCAUCAAGGAAAGCCAAUACACUGGAUAUUAGUUCGUACAAUAAUUAGAUGUUUUAAAUGGAAGUCCAUAUUCAAAAAUAUUACAAUACACUCCAGUCAUCAUAGAAGUGCAUGAUUUUCAACAAACAAGAAAUUGACCUAGUGUUUUACUCCGACAUGACAUUUGAAACACAAGCAUAACAGUAACCUUAAAAAGGGCAUAUUUCAGAGAAUACUCUAUAAAUUUCUAAGGUGAGAGCUGGUGUAUUUAAAUGUAACUUUUCAUUUAAAUCGAAAUAUCAAUCUGCACAUCAGACUCAGAAUUUUUUUUACAGAGCAACCACUGAAGCCCUAAGGGAAAGCAAUGAAAAAUAAUUAUUCAGAGGCAGCAUUAUGUAAUGCUAGCAUAUCAAGCAAGGAUAGUUCGAACUUAAGAAGACUGAAACAGCUUACAAACUUGCAUCAGGACACACAAAUACCACACCACAAUUAUUGAAAUCAAACACAUUCUUAUACAAACAAAACUAAUUAAAAAAGGAAGUAACAGGAAAGUUAGCUAAAUUCAUAAUUAGGGUGAACCUUACAUGCAAUCAAGAUUCUAACUGAGUGGGGCACUUUUUCAGAAUCUUCAUGCACUCAAGUCUACUAAGUGAAUCCUAUGAGCUUUCUUGUAAUUUGGCCAAGCAACCAAGAGGCCCUCUCUUUUUUCCUUCUUCCCCUGCAUAUUCAGUGUCCUUACCUUCUCAAUUUCGAGACCAUACAAUGACUUUAGAACUUGCUUGAUCUAAAUCUUUGAAGCAGGGGGCAUGGUUUUGAAAGCAAUUUCUUUGGUAUUUUCAAAUGAAGACGGGAUGAGAAGCUUCAAAGGGAAAUCGAUAAGCAUGUUUUCAUGGUUCUUCAUCGAUCAAAUACCUCGUUUGGUUGUCAAGAAAUUAUAUGAGUGGCAAUUUCUUUGGUAUUUUCAAAUAAAAAUUUCGCUGCAACUUUUGAUGGCGACAGGAGAUGAAGUGCAUAGAAGUUGUUUAGAGAAGUUUUUCAACAACACUACUUGUCAUUGAUUGUUGGCCACUGUAAAGCGCAAACAAAGAUGUAACCACCAAUUUUAUUAUCCUAAAUCUAAUCACAUGAGCCUAAUUAACAAAAAUAUGUGGUUUCCAAGAAAAAUUACACCUCUAGUUUAUUAGGAUUUGAGGAAAAUAUAAUUAGAGUUUAACAAAAUUAUGAUGAAUGUAAAGGCGAGUUUAAAAAGUAAAAAUUCUGUUUUUUCUUUUUCCUUUUUAUUAUAUUUUAAUGUCCAUAAUUGUAAUUUAAUUUAAGGUAUUUUAAUAAAAAAAUUAUUUUUAAAAGUAAAUUUAAUGAGUAAUUUGGUGGGUUCAAAUAGCCCCACCCUAAUUUAAUGCAUAUUUUGGAUAUUUUAAGGGGAAUAGGUAUAUCCCACACAAUUUCCCCGCCAUGAAGUGCCAAUAUUGUUCUCCAUCCUUUCUACAUAUAUAUCUUUUCCAGAUAAAUAUUUGCAGAAGUGAGGUGGGGAGGCCCUCCUAAAAUAUACUUAAGCUUCGAACAAUCAGGCGUUUCAGAUUUGAAAGUUGGAAAUCACCAGUUCAGCCAGAGAGGAAGGAAUCCUCGUUCCUUUCUCCUCUACUGGAUAUGAACCCCACAUCCUCACAUACUCUGCGGAUUACAAGUCGUCUGAGAUAGCCGAAUCUGUGCAAUCCCACUCGAACAGUGCUUUGCGAAUCUCCAGAUCCUGAAGCUCGAGUGAAUCAAAGUUGGCAGAGAAAGCCAUCCUCUGGGGAAACAUGCCAAUAUUAGAUUUUCCAGUGCUAAAUGUUCAAGAGAGGUCAGAUUGUGCAAGCCGUUGGGCAAAGCCUCUAGUUUCUCACAACAACUUAGACGUCGUUCCUCCUUUGGGGAAAGACAAAAAGAUGAUCACACUACCAAAUUGUUUACUCUUGAAGAUGGUGGAGCUUAUGCACUCACCAGGUAAACCUUUAUGAUUUUCACAGCUCCAAAAUAUAAUUCUUUCAAGAGAUAUGUUAACCGCAAGGUGCCGAAGUGUGGCAGGCAACUCGGUUUCUGAAAAAUGAGGAUGUGAUAGAUGGACAAUAUACAUACAUACAAGGCAAUAGUAGUUACAAAAUAUUAGUAAUCCACUUUUGUAAUAGCAUGUCUCAAAUUUGUGAUAGAACACCUAGUAUUUGAAAACUUACCUUCUAUUUACAUCGGAUCAAAACAAACUUAAUCUUCUCAGCUGGGAUUGCCGCUACGAUAAAGGAGAAAUCUAGUUAAAUUAUGAGGGGGGUAAAAAUGAAAAUCCCCAUUACACAGUGAAUAACUCCAUCAGCGCACAAGGUAAGAUGACGACACUAUCACCAUCACGAGGGACCUCGGGCUGUGUGUAUAUAUAUAUAUAUAUGGGUGUGUGUGUGUGCAUGUAUUAUACAUUCAAAAAUGGGGACUGCUACAACAUUAAUUACUGGAUCUGAUACAGUUGC
rnacentral:lncRNA from 1 species